rnacentral:rRNA from 1 species
GUGGGGAAUAUUGGACAAUGGGGGGAACCCUGAUCCAGCCAUGCCGCGUGUGUGAAGAAGGCCUUUUGGUUGUAAAGCACUUUAAGCGAGGAGGAGGCUACCGAGAUUAAUACUCUUGGAUAGUGGACGUUACUCGCAGAAUAAGCACCGGCUAACUCUGUGCCAGCAGCCGCGGUAAUACAGAGGGUGCAAGCGUUAAUCGGAUUUACUGGGCGUAAAGCGCGCGUAGGUGGCCAAUUAAGUCAAAUGUGAAAUCCCCGAGCUUAACUUGGGAAUUGCAUUCGAUACUGGUUGGCUAGAGUAUGGGAGAGGAUGGUAGAAUUCCAGGUGUAGCGGUGAAAUGCGUAGAGAUCUGGAGGAAUACCGAUGGCGAAGGCAGCCAUCUGGCCCAAUACUGACACUGAGGUGCGAAAGCAUGGGGAGCAAACAGGAUUAGAUACCCCUGUAGUCC